CUCCCUCUCUCUGAACGCCAAAGGCCUCUCGCCCCUCAGUCCAGAUUUAGACCUCAGUCUUUCCCAGACAUUCACAGCCAGCUGUCCAAAGCCGAAGCUGCCUCCUGGUUCUGAGCUUCCUCCUCGUCACUAUGCCUCCGAUCCUUCACCAGCCGACGUCGUAGCGCAGCCUCACCAGUAUUCAGGUGUGUCCAAGUGCGGUGAAGUUGGGAUUGGAUGCCCAGCACGUCUCCGCUCGGUCUGGUUCCCCAGAGGCAGACCUCUGGCUCCUCUUGCCCAGACAUGGAGCCUUUUGCAGAGGUGCCUUUAUUUGAGAUGGACGAGGAUGAAGAAGACAAGGAGGAGGAUGUUCUCUCAAUGAAGAGCAGAGCAGGUUGUACGGACGCUGCAGCGCCCCCUGCAGGCUCAGACCCCGACACCUUCAUCUACAUGAAGUUCAUGAAGAGCCACUGCUGCUACGACGCCAUCCCCACCAGCUCCAAACUGGUCAUCUUUGACACCUCGCUGCAGGUGAAGAAGGCCUUCUUUGCGAUGGUCGCUAAUGGUGUGAGGGCGGCACCGCUGUGGGACAACAAACUCAAGUGUUUUGUGGGAAUGCUGACCAUCACCGACUUCAUCAACAUCCUCCAUCGCUACUACAAAUCUCCUCUGGUUCAGAUCUACGAGCUGGAGGAACAUAAGAUCGAGACGUGGAGAGAAAUCUACCUGCAGUACUCCAUUAACAGACUCAUCAGCAUCACGCCGGACUCCAGUCUGUUUGAUGCCAUCUACUCCCUGCUGAAGAAUAAGAUCCACCGGCUGCCCGUCAUCGAUCCGGCUUCAGGGAACGUCCUGCACAUCCUGACACACAAACGCAUCCUCAAGUUCCUCCACAUCUUUGGUUGCAUGAUUCCCAAACCCAGGUUUCUGCAGAAGCGGAUCAACGAAGUUCCCAUCGGAACCUUCAAGGAGAUCGCCACGGUUCAGGAAUCUGCCUCUGUCUACGACGCUCUGAGCAUCUUUGUAGAGAGAAGAGUCUCAGCUCUGCCCGUUGUCAAUGAGGAAGGUAAAGUGGUGGCGCUGUACUCCAGGUUUGAUGUCAUUAACUUGGCAGCCCAGAAGAACUACAACAACCUGAACAUGACGAUGAGGGAGGCCGUGGCGUCCAGAGCCGGGUGGGUAGAGGGAGUCCUCAAGUGUUACCCUCAUGAAACCCUGGAGACCAUCAUCGACCGCAUCGCAAAGGCCGAGGUGCAUCGGUUGGUGUUGGUGGACGCUGACGACGUGGUCAGAGGGAUUGUGUCUCUGUCUGACCUCCUACAAGCUCUGGUCCUCAGUCCUGCAGGUAUUGAUGCUCUUUACUCCUAACGCCAACCCUUCAUCCAUCCAUUCCUCUUUCUGUCAGUCCUCUGGACAUCCAUCCGUCUACCAGUCGACCUCCAGAGUUUCAUCCAAGUCUUCGUUCUCCUGGAGUCCACAAGUCUUCUCCUAACUCUUUCAGCUGUCCUUUAGUGCUUCUACCGGGAAUGAUCAUCCUGAUUACGUCCCUGAAACCUCCUCAUCAACUGUCCACCUCUUGAAGUCUUCCAACUCAAUCAACAAACAGAAAUCGACCCCUUAAACCUCCAACAAAACUACAGCUGCAGGUGACAGCAUCUUGACCAACUUCCUAAUAAACAGCCAACUUCAACCCUCAUCUGAAGUUCACUCCAUCCACCAAAGCAACACAAAGUGCCCACAGCAAGACAAAAUGACCAUGUAAUGACACAAAACAACCACAAAGAGACAUAAAGCUUCUUCAAAUACAUGCAACCUGACAGCAAAGAGGCGCAGUACAACAGCAAAGACUCACAACUGCUGUAAGGAUUUACAAAGUGACUACAAACAGACGAAAUACAACCACAAAGAGACACAAAAUGACCACAAGGAGACACAAAACCACCGCAAGGAAACAAAAAUCAACCACAAAGACACAAAGAGACACAUGGCAAUUGCAGAGAGACUCGAAAUGACAAUAGACACAAAAUGACCACAAACGGAAACCAACCACAAGGAGACACAAAAAACAACCUCAAAGACGCAAAGAGACACAAAGCAACUGCAGAGACUCAAAAUGACAACAUACAACCACAAUGAGACAGAAAACAAACAGACACAAUACAACCACAAAGACGUAAUUAAACUACAAGGAGACACAAAACCACAUCAAGAAGACAAAAUCGACCUCAGACACAAAACAACCAGAAGAUGAAAAACACCCACAAUGUGAAGCAAAUCGACCCCAAAGAGAAGAAAACCAAGCACUAGUACUUAAACUCAAGAGUUCAGCGUAUGAGUGAACUCCUUCAAAAUAAAAGCUCCAGGCGACACCCUCAGCUGGUUGUGAACUUCCUGUUUCUGGUCUACUUCCUCCACCCAAACUAAACCUCCAGUCUGAACCGAGACUUCAGCGUCUUCAUCCUCUGAAACCAGCUCACCUGUCAGAUAUUUACCAGCGACGAUCCUUUGAAGACUGAAGAAAACCAGACGGAGGAUAAACACUCAACAGAAACAGGGCUGUGAUUUCAAUCCAGAGGAAGAACAUGAAAAACAGGAACUUUUCUCCUUCCACAGCUCAGCAGGACUAAUAAUAGACUCUUUAAUGAGAGACUUUGCUUGAGGUGAAACUCACUUGAGCUGUAGUUGUGGAACUGAAGAUCCAGAGACUUUAAACUGAAUCUGAGGUUGUUUUUAAAGCUGUGCUCCUCUGAAACUGAGUUGAUUCCAGAUCGGUCCUUCAGAUUCUGAAGAGCCUAGAACAGAGAUGACAUUUUUGUAAAUGCACUGAUGCUCCUCUUACUGUGAAAAAUAAAUGCCUUGCUGUGUUUUCAGUCAUUGCAAGAAAUAAACACUAUCUGUGUAGAGUCUCA